GGCCCGGCGCGACCGCGUGCGAUCACCUCCUAAAAUGUGCUCGCAGACCUCUCACUAUAAACAAAACAAAAUCACUUACUAUAAAACUGUAUUUUCCUCGUAAAAUGUGACUACACUGUACAACACCAGUCGACAUUUUUUCAUUUUAAUUUUAACCCUAUUUUUAUAUUUUUCACUCUUUUUAUUUUACACUGACAGUGCAUUUGCAAUAAAAAUAUUGUGCCGGUUACUCAGUGCUGUGAAGAAUUGUGUUGUGUGUAAUUACGGUUGUCCUGUACCCGGUUGUUAUCGAUUGUUUCCCGACACUAGUGGCGAACAGCUGUUUUUGGGGAUGCGGAAGUGAUUCGUAAACCGCAUCGUACGAUUUUCAUGCAAUUGACAAAAGGCAAUAACUUGUAAUAAUUUAAGUCUAUCAGCUAGAGAGUGAAAGAACUAUUCAUAAUUAAAAGAAGGAAAAAUAAUCUUCCGGAAAUACAUCAUCCGUGACUUGAAAUAAAAAAAUAAAUAACGGUGAUUUGAUAAAAGUCAGUGCUAGUGUAUUCAAAAGAGAAAUAAAAACUUGUAUUAAUAAUUAAAAAAGAAAAACCAAGUGUAGCGCAAACGGCUAGUGUGCCAGUGUUUUCGUUAAAAAUUCCGUGUAAAAUUGUGUUUACUGAAUUGGAUUUGUCUCGAGGAUUUGGAUCAGAGGUUGUUAAUAAGGCUGUGAGGUGUCGCGUGGGCGAUGCUGGGCGGGGCGGCGGGGGGCGGCCGCUCCCGCCCGCCCUCUGACCUGCAGCAAGGUGUGGGCCGAUUUCCUCUGUACACUUUGUUCCCGCAAGUUGGAACAAGGCCUUCUAUAACUAAAGUGACGACAGAGAGCCUGUUCUCGACGUCGCUAUCGACGUUCGGUGCGCCGACGCCGCCGCCGAACUCGCCGUACUCGUCGCUGCUCGAGCUCAACUGUGGACAGCGGGUCUUUGUUACUGACAAGGACCACAAUAAGAUGGACGAGGCUAAGUUGGCCAAGUGCAUGCCUGAUACGCUAUGCUGUCCUGGCGACCAGAGGCAGCUCAUCGAAGGUCUCAAUGUGAUGCAGCCUCUCACCAUAAAAACGGAGCAAGCGAAACGCUCCUGUAACACCUGCCAUACGAAUUCUCCGAAAAAGGUUAUCCAUACUGAUGGAGGAUGUAGCCGCACGAACCCCGUCGCCUGGCUCGGAGUGGCAGGUCAGAACGUCCAGGUCCAGGUCAAGCGCGAACCGCAACAUAUGCAUGUGUCGGAACUGGUGGCUGUCAAGUUGGAACAAGCGUCACCAGGGAACAAGCCGGAACAACCGCCGCCGGCCAUACCGGCGUCGCUGAACAACGGUUCGAUUCCCGUCGGCAUCGCGGUCGCCAGACAGAGGGUCGGCGACGCGGGCCUCCUUGCGGCCCUCUCGCAAAAGGACAACCAACAUCGAAUGCAUGAACUUGGCACGUCAUUGUAUUGUCAUUCCGCCACAGACGCGGCGCAGGCGGCCAUGACGGUGGGCGUGGCCAACGUCCUGUGCGACGAUCGCGCCGCCCCCCUGGCGUGGCCGGCACCGCAAGCCCCCGCGCCUCCUGCCCCCCUCUGGCAAUACCCGACCGCGCAAAUGUCGAUGGAGAGUAUGAUGGUGGGCGGAGUCGGAGUCGGCGGCGUCGGCUCGGUCGGCAGCGGCAUGUCGUCUGUCGGCGGCUUCCAGCUCGUCCGCGAGCCUACUUCUGGAGCCCUACUGCUCCUCCCAGCGCCUCCCGAUCUCCCACACACCGUUGUCUGGGGUGGCAUGCCUUAUUCCUCCGCUCCUCUGUUACUCCCGCCCGCUCCGCAUCCGUCCCAUCACUUACAAUUACUUCCAGGUGAUAUCCUCGCGUCCACUGCAACUCUUCAACAUACCCACACACAUUCUACGCGCCUGGUGACACUAGCCCCGGCGCCGGCCCCACAGCCUCACCCUCAAGCCCAUACGGCUGAUAAGAGAAAGCCGAUGAUGCAACCUCUCAUAACUCCUCACGCCUUAAUCAAAAUUGAACCAGAACCUCCUCUAGAGAAACCACAGCCCACAUUUACUGCUGAACCCGUUCAGCAGCCGAUGCUAACAGCGACACAUUUGUACUAUCAACCACAACCCCAAGAUUUCGCUGAACAACCAGUUAGGAGUCAGGCGACGUCACCUGCUGCACCACCCACGCCUCCCCCCGAGGCUCAGGAAGGCCCAGCACAUAAAGAUGCGUCAAACCAAACUGAUCAUAUUGAUGACGAAGACGAUUCCCCAAACCACGCCGACGAAGAUGAAAGGGGAGAGGUCGCUUGUGUGGGUGUUGCUCACUUCCCCGAAGAGAACCAUAUGAUGCAAUCCCAAACAGUAUUAUUACAACCGGCGCCUAUAGAUAGCGCUGAGGAAUCGUCAUCUGAAGGUUUGGCAACAUCGGCUGUUGUUGGAGCUGUAGAAAAGGCAAUUGAUGCAAUAGAAAGGGAUGAAGCGUUGGAUAAUUCAAGCAGUGGUAACUCCAGUGACUUGGUUAUCGAUACGGCAAGAACAUCGCCUGUGCAGGAAACUACGCCACAACCCGCGAUACCAGUCGUAGAUGUCAGUGGUCUGGAACUACUGUCAAACAGUAUUGAACAGUUCGAGAGAACUACUCCAGGAAUUAACAUGCCGACCCUUGAACCCGCUCCUCUUACUAUCGAUACGAGAACUUCAACAAAGUUGAAUAUUAUGAUCAAAACAUCUCCGAAAUCUUCACCGCGAACAAUCUCUGCUGAUACAGAACCUAGACGAUUCGAGUUUCCUGUUGCCGAACCAAGUACAAGUGACCAGGGUAAACAGUCGUUAGACGGCUUAGGUUUACUAUGUGCGUUAGCAGAACAAAGAAUAAUGCAAGAAGUUCAGCAAACACCGUUGAUUUCCCGUCCUUUUAUCAAGAAUGAAUUACUAAGUCCCACCGACAGGGUUACGCCUAUUGAACCCAAAAAAGACAGGCAUAGGCAUAGAGACGGAGAUUCAUCGAAUGAAAGAAGGAGAAAGCGGAGUUUGGAUAAGGAUGAGAGGCACCAACAUAAACUAGAAAAGAUACGAAGGCGUGAGAGAGAACGAGAUGAGAGAGAUACUAAAAAAGGAGGAGAAUUAGAAGCCAGUUUGCGUCGCGUGACCGCAUGUGCCUGCGGCGCGAUGACCUGUUCACACAAAUCCACCGUACCUUCAGCUCAAGCUCUUGUAAAUGCCAUAGAGAAAGACAUGCGAGAGAGACUGCAAGAGCUAGAACGACAGUGCGAUGAAAAGAGAGCACAACUGAAUGCUUUGACUCCGCCUUUGCCAGCGUUGUCUACACCCCCGACGCCUUCAACUCCUGCCUUAUCUCCAGACUCCGAUAGAGGUUCGUCAAAGAAGCGGAAAGUUGGUAGACCUCGUAAGGUCUCAAGUCCAGAUUCCACAGAAACUAUCGUCGCUAAGAAACCGAAAUCGAAAAGCAGUUUGGUCGGCUUUUUACUAGCCAAAGGAAAACUGAAAGGAGGUAUCCUUUGUUCUAGAGGAGAACCGUCCAGGGAAGAUGGCAAUCGAACAAGCAAAGUCCGCCCGAAGUUGAAAGCUGAGCCAAUUGUGAAGACUUACUCUGAGGAAGACGAUCAUGAAUGGGGCCUUAAUAGAUCUGUGAGUUCGUCAAUGGAAAGCUUAAAUGAGGUGCGACAGAAGAAUCGGGAGAAAGUCGAUAGGUUAGCGAGGAAGCAUUCUAGAGACGAUCUGCCGGAAUUGGAGUUUGCUAUGCGGAGGGCGAGUGCUUCAAGUGAUAGUGAAAAAGAAAGACGUAAAGCGAAGAAACGGCGGAAGAGUGUGAAGUCUAAAGAAAGGUCGGAAAGCAAAGAGCAGGCUCCUCUACCCGCCAAGCCGGCUAUAUCAAAAUGUACUUUAACAGAAGACAAAUUAGACUCUUCUCCGAGAGUACUUACUGCUAUGGGAGGAUUAUUUUACGCUGGCAAGCUCAGCGCGGUUACUGCUCCAGAUGUAUAUGCUAUCACUUUGGAUGGAGAAAGAGGAAAUAAACCACAUAUACUGUCCAGAGAAGAAACUUUAAGAGAUGCUAUUCUCGAAGUAAGUCCAGCGUCAGUGGCAGAACUACCAUCAGGCUCGAGAGUGUGCGCGUACUGGUCGCAACAGUACCGCUGCUUAUACCCUGGUACAGUCGUCGUGUCGUCUCCAGACCCUCAAGAUGACAAGUUUGUGGCAGUGGAAUUCGAUGACGGUGAUUCCGGCCGAAUAGCGAUUGAAGAUAUAAGGUUCUUGGAACCGAACUACCCUGUUGUUGAAUACGAGAAUCCACUAUUCACGCUCGGCAAACGGAGAAGGAAUACCAGUGUCACAGAGGAUAAGAAACCAGUAAUCACUCCCGGUGAAAUGAAAACCGAACCAGCUGCCCCGAAAUCUGAAGAUGAGGACAGACCCAAAGACAGGAAGAAGCUGAAGAAACACAGAAAAGACAAAAUCAAACGGCACUCAAGCGAAGACGAUCCUAACUCCACGGAUUACGUCAAGAAGAAGAAAAAGAAGCACAAGUGCUGCGAAGAGCAUUGCAAACACAGGAGGCAUCAUAAGAAGCAUCACAGGAAGCACAGAAAGAGGCACCAUUCUAGCUGCAAGGAGCACUCCAGUUCCUCAGGAGACGACCACCACAGGCACAAGUCCUCAUCCGAUUACAUCGACUCCAACAAAUCUAACGAAGAUUCUGGUGAUUCUAACGACAGACUGUCUACUCUUAUUGCAGUAGAAAAGUCACCAAAUGAGAAAAUGAAAACGGUAAUUAAGAAAGCAAUGUUGCCCAAGAACAGUUUGUUGAAAAAUGCAGUUUUGGACUUCAGCAAUUUGGGCAAGAUCACCUCGAAGAAGGAAGAUGCGAAGGACAAUUUGAAGGACAGCGGUAUUGGUUUGGAAGAGGAAGCACCUAUAGCUUCAACUUCAACGAGUGAAGCAGCUAAAAAGAAGGCAAAACGCCGGACAGUAUCAUCGACCUCGUCAGAAGGCGGUGCGGUGAGUGGUGUCAGCAAAAUGGCGGCGUUCUUGCCCGGUGGCGCGCUGUGGCGGUGGCUGGGCCCCGCGUAUCGGCGUACGGCGCGGCCGCGGCACCGCAAACUGUUCUACCGAUCCAUACAGCGUGGGGAGGAAACGUUACAUGUGGGUGACGCAGCCGUGUUCCUCUCGACCGGGCGUCCAGAUCGGCCAUACAUUGGUCGUAUAGUGGCAUUGUGGGAGGCGCGCGGAGCUAUGGCGGUUCGUGUCAAGUGGUUUUACCACCCAGAGGAGACGGUGCCUUGCCAAGAACAGCUGCAGUACCCGGGUGGCCUUUUCGAGUCUCCUCACACAGACGAGAAUGACGUCCAGACUAUAUCACACAAGUGCGAGGUAUUACCUCUGCCUCAGUACAAGGAGCGCAUGGGCGAUGACCCGGUCAAGUACAGCACUGUAUACGACAACAACGACGUGUACUACUUGGCCGGACACUACGACCCCACGCAGCAAACCCUGCGCAUGGAGCCCGACAUUCCCUACGCGAAUAAACCGAGCUCCUAAACGCUCCUAGCACCCUGGUACUUUUUACAAUUGGGACAGUGACUAAGUUUUUGCUUUUGCAGUGGUUAAUCAACGUUUUUUGAUCCAUAAAAUAGUUUACAAAUAAUUUAUUGUUAUUAUCUCAGUAAUAAGAAUUUUAAAGUACACAAUUUUCGAUAUCUCGAUGUGUUUAGAACGUGUUUCAGUAGAUUUUUUGCAAUUCAGUAGCGAUUCUGGAGUGUUGCAGUAGCUUGGAUUCACCUAUACAGGUCUUAAAGUACAAUGUAGAUUUUUGAGGCUCAAUUUGGGACGAUUUUUCACAUUUUACCGUCCCUAGAGACGAUUAUAUUGGUGUACUACGACUCAAUACGUUAAUAGUUACCCUUGUUACGUUAUAUUUAGUGAUAUCCACUUGGAUUGUUAUUUUCUCCUUGGAUUUGUAUGGGCCGAGUUUGGAUGGUGUAUGACAAUAGACUCAGAUUACGCUGGCGGGAGAUGUGAAUUCGAAUGCGACGAUAUGUGAUUUAUUUUUUAUACGUGUAACGCUGUAAUCUCGAUGUAUAGUAGCUGUAUUCGUGUAUAUUCUAUUAGAUAUCUAUAUAUACUUAGUUUCUUUAAUAUAAAAAGUCUAUUAUCUUAAAUUGCAAUACUGUUUCAACUAGUCUCAUAGAAUUGUAUUCAAAAUUAUACCCAGUGAUUCGUCUUAGUCAUGCGUUGGAUAAUUUUGGAGAAAAAUUUGGUCUAAUCUUUUCGUAAAGUUUAACAAAGUGUAUUUGUUAUAUUAUUGUUUUUCGUCAUUUAUUUUUUUUUAUAUUUUUGGUUGAUAAUUUUAUGUUAAUAUUGAUGUAUACCUUUAUAUCGAAUGGUGCUAGAUGCUUGAUACUUGAUAUUUGUUUAUUUCGCUGUAGUUAAGACUGUAUAUAGAUAUGUUUGAAUGGCGGCCGUCUCGUGCGGUGGUUUUUCUCAAAUAUAAUUUCUGCUUUUACUACAAUGUUGCCAUUUAAUGUACUGUUGAGUACUGUUAGAGUAUGAUUUGGACAGGGUAACACCCGCGCCCUGUUUUGGGUACCCUUCACAUUCAUAUCGUGGGUACCUACGUAAGGACUGAUAGAACAGGGACGUAGAUAGGUCGGUCGGGGGUAGCUAGGUAGGUUUUGUAUGAAGUGGCCAAAAAGUUUGUACGAAAUUGUCGGAGAAGAGUAAGAAUUCAGCCUUAAUGUUAUAAUUUCACCACGAUAGGUAUAGUUAACUAAGUUUAUGUAAUCUUCGUACAUAAAAUCAUUUUUUUAAACGGCCAAAUUAGGGUUGGCAAUACUGAUUGUAAGUUACAUCGUAUGUUUUUUGUUAUCAAUUGUACUUUUUUAGUUUUAAGUUUAUAUUUUAAGCUAAGAAUUACGUUUCUCUACGAUUAUAAUUAAAAAAAAAAUACAAAAAAGAAAAUAUAUUAUUGGACUUAAAAAACUUAAGAAAACAAAAGUGCGAAUUUGGAUACAAUAUUUGAAAAAUUGGUAUUUUUAUAUUAAGAUGAGGUAGGUUUUUGUUUUUUAAAGUAAGUAUCAAAGUGUAUAAGUACAAAAUGAAGUACGAUUUUUGGCUCGGCCCAGUGUAUGUACGUAUACUAACACUAUGGCUUAAUUCAAAAAACAUUAAAACAGUCUUGUUAAUGUGUAAGCUUGUGUAGAUUCUGAUUUUUAUUGGGGUUCCAUACCAGUUUAGCUGAUUAAAUUUGUUAACUCACCAUGCAACUCGCAGGAGAAGAAUAAAUCGGAAGAAAGCACCUGUACAUUUUACAAAGUUUAGAAUAAUAUUAUAUACUAGAUUUUUUAAUCAAUAUUAAAUUCCCACGAAAAAAUAAUCAUAAUUCAUAAUUAAUUUAUUCGCCUUAAAAAUGGUAGGUACAGUUUGCCUAAUCCCUAGCGUUAUUCCGUUUUCACACGGUCUGCUUACCUAAUCUGAAGAUAAGAUAGGUCCAGUUUUCUACAGGAGCUACUGCCUGUCUGACCUUUCAACCCCCAAAGGGAAAACCAGCCCAACACAGGUUAGGUUAGGUCACAUACCUCCGAAAAUGCAUUUCUCGUGAAUGUGGGUUGUGGGUUUCCUCACGAUGUUUUACAUCACCGCUGAGCACGUGAUUAUUAUUUGUGAUCCAAUUAUGAAUUUCGAAAACAAAUUCGACAAUCAUUGGUUUAGGCCUGUGAUGGAUUCAAAUCUGCGACCUUAAAGUGAGAGGCAAGCGCCACGGCUCCUACACACAUCUUCGCCAAGAAAACCAAGUGAAACGCCUUUUAGAAAUAUCACAUUCUUUGUGAUUUUAUUCAACAAAACCUCAAUUUUUUCAUUAUUAAUUUCACUCCGGGUAUAAAUUGGGACCACAAAUUUAUACCUGGAUUGAAAUUAGCUUGUCUAUUGAAAGGUUUUGUUAAUUUCGAUCCGAAAAGGCUUACAUGGUUUUCUCUAUAAAGUGAGGUUAAAACAGGUUAGUGACAUCGUAACGAAAACUGAGGGAUGAUUCAGACUAUGGUACUGAGUUGAUAUCAAGUGGAAUUUUCCGUCGAAAAAGUAUGAAGCUAAAAAAAAACAUAAUCAUGAAUUUUUCGACAGAAAAUUCCACUUGAUAUCAACUCAGAAUCACAGUCUGAAACAUUCCCCUCAGUAUUCGUUAUAGUGUCACUAACAUAUUGUAUAUUAAUAUUAACUCUAUGAAUCAAAUGAUACAUGUCAUUAUCUACGCCCCAAGCUUAGAUCGAAUCAUUGGCAUAUAUACCGUAUAUACCUUUGUUUGGCAAGAUGGAUAGACUAUCUCUAAUCUUUUUGCAAUCAAAAUUAUUAUGACGUAUGUUUGUGUGAUACGAAUGAAAUAGAGAUAUUUCUCGCCAAUUCUACUAAUCGCAUAGCUAAAACCGCGUAGUUAUCUAUGUUUUUCUAACUUAUAAAUUAAAUUUUAAAUAAAAACAUUGAUCUUUUGUGCAUAUUGUUUGUAGGCUUGCAUUUGUGUACUUAGGUUUUAAUUUAAUUGAUUUUUCUCAAAACUAUAAAACUCUUUUUAGAAUGACGAAUACUAUUAGAUAGCGGUCCAUUCUUAUAUAAUUUUGAUUUUAAGUAUACUUGUACAGCUAUUAUUAAUAGCGAAAUACUAAUUACUUUAAAUCACUAUAAAAAACUAUUAUUUUAAACAUAUUAAGUAUCGGCCCAAACUCAACACAAUUUAUAAUUUACGCAGAGUUGUGGUUUUAAUAACCAAAACUAUUUAAAUACUUUCAAAAUAAAUUCGUUUUUGCUUUGCAAGUUACAAACUAUUCAAACAUUUUCAUUUCAGGUUAAAAUAUUAUUAUUGUGUUAAUGAAACUUGUAACGUUAUUUUAAUUUAAUUGCACGGACUGCAUGUUUUAUUAAAAUCACUUCUGGCGUGCCAAAUCUAUUAUUAUUCUAAAUAAUAAUUAUUGUGUACAAUGUAUAUACUAUGAGAACUAGGUAGGUGAUGUCUAAAUUAUUAAAAUUAUGAAAAUCUAUUAACUUCUUUUAAUUUAUUUUAAUAAAACUUUGGGAGAUAAGUUUUUAAUAAUUUUUUCGAGGUCAAAAUGUGAACGUUUUUGUUAUAAUUUAUUUGGGAAUUUAUUUUAAAUGUUCGUUAUUUAAAUUUAUGUAAACAUAAGUGUAUAAAAAUAAAAUUAUAAGAAUGAAUUCCUGUUCUUAAUCAUUUGAAUUUAAAUUUAAAAAAUGUUUAUUUAAUAUAAAAUAUUGUAUAAAUAUAAUGUAAAUACUGCUUAUCUCCUUAAGUUUCAAAACGUUAAAAUAGUUAUUACUUUUAAUGUGCUCUUCUUCGAUGUUUUAUUUAUAUUGUGAUGUCCACGCUAUGAAAAUAUAAUUAUGGUCAAUUCCGAGCACUAUCAAAAUGUUCUGUGAUACAUGUGUUUCUUAGUUUAAAUUAUAAUAUAUAUUAUGUAAUAUAUAAAUUAAAAACUGUCAUUGGGUGUCACGUUCUUAAUGGCGAUAAAUAAACGUAUAAUGAAAGUAAA